AUAUCAAUAAGCGGAGGAAAAGAAACUAACAAGGAUUCCCCUAGUAACUGCGAGUGAAGAGGGAAAAGCUCAAAUUUAAAAUCUGGCAGUCAUAUGGCUGUCCGAGUUGUAAUUUAGAGAAGUGUUAUCCGCGCUGGACCGUGUACAAGUCUCCUGGAAUGGAGCGUCAUAGAGGGUGAGAAUCCCGUCUUUGACACGGACUACCAGGGCUUUGUGAUGCGCUCUCGAAGAGUCGAGUUGUUUGGGAAUGCAGCUCAAAAUGGGUGGUAAAUUCCAUCUAAAGCUAAAUAUUGGCGAGAGACCGAUAGCGAACAAGUACCGUGAGGGAAAGAUGAAAAGAACUUUGGAAAGAGAGUUAAACAGUACGUGAAAUUGUUGAAAGGGAAACGCUUGAAGUCAGUCGCGUUGGCUUGAAAUCAACCUUGCUCUUUUGCUUGGUGUACUUUCUUGUCGACGGGUCAACAUCAGUUUUGGCUGCUGGAUAAAGGUCGAGGGAAUGUGGCAUCCUCGGAUGUGUUAUAGCCCUUGAUUGUAUACAGUAGCUGGGACUGAGGAACUCAGCACGCCGCAAGGCCGGGUCUUUGACCACGUACGUGCUUAGGAUGUUGGCAUAAUGGCUUUAAUCGA
rnacentral:rRNA from 1 species